rnacentral:rRNA from 1 species
CGUAGGGGGCAAGCGUUGUCCGGAAUUACUGGGCGUAAAGGGAGCGUAGGCGGUCUUUUAAGUUAGAUGUGAAAUACCCGGGCUUAACUUGGGAGGUGCAUCUAAAACUGGGGGACUUGAGUGCAGGAGAGGAAAGUGGAAUUCCUAGUGUAGCGGUGAAAUGCGUAGAUAUUAGGAGGAACACCAGUGGCGAAGGCGACUUUCUGGACUAUAACUGACGCUGAGGCUCGAAAGCGUGGGGAGCAAACAGGAUUAGAUACCCUGGUAGUCCACGCUGUAAACGAUGAAUACUAGGUGUAGGGGGUAUCGACUCCCCCUGUGCCGCAGCUAACGCAAUAAGUAUUCCGCCUGGGGAGUACGGCCGCAAGGUUG